AUCUGGGCGGCGGAAUUCAGGAUGGCUGGCCGGGUCUCGCGCCCGUUCGGCCGUUUGAUAUUUCCGUCGCCGUUGCAGACGUCGCGACCUGUUUGUCGUCGGUCCUUGCUCGGAGGAAUCGCGUGCGAGUUCGUUGCGGGGCGUGUUUCGGCGCGUUCCGCGAUGAAGCCGCGGCUCUCUGGCUGACGACGGACAGUAAGCAACGGUGGCCGGCGCGGUGUCACAUCGCACUUCGCGUCGGUGCCGGUCAGCGACGAUUUCUUCGGGCCUCUUUCCGACCCGUCUUGAAACACGGACCAAGGAGUCUAACAUGCGCGCGAGUCGCGGGGUGUCGAGCGUGCCACGGUGCGCUCGUUACUUCCGAAACCCGUACGUUGAAGGCGUAAUGAAAGUGAACAGGGAAGAUGGCGUUCCGAGUCCACGAACCGUGAUCGAGUAUCGCGGCCGGGCGCCCGCACUCCCGGGGCGUCUCAAUGGCUCGUCGCGGAUGCGGACGGUCGUUCUUCGGGGCGGCCGUCGGUCUGCGACGGACCGA
rnacentral:rRNA from 1 species